UGCUAUUUUACCAGUGGCUUCCCAUGCUGAGUCACACAUGGGGACCUCUCCUGUUUGAGAGCCAGGAAAGGCCUUGUCCUCAGAAAGGUGUCAGAGACAGCAAUCUUCAUGAGUCCUGUUUUAUUUGUGAGUCAAGCACAAGGAGCCUGCUGAAACCCAUUAGGUAUAAAUUCUGCAGGCCCUGCACCAACCGUGUCACCGCUAGAAGGCGAAAGAGAGACCACCCGCCCUCACACGGAUGCGGAGCUCUCUGACAGCCCAACCGCGAGGCUGCCAGGGACAGAUGUUGCACAUCCUUUAAUGGUAGGCUGGAAAGGGGCC
rnacentral:lncRNA from 1 species